CGUUCCUUAUGUGUCCAUGUUACUGAUGAGAAAUUACUUUGUAAAGAAUAGCACCAGCCUCAGUCACAGGAGAGAAAGCAUAGUGCAUGUGCUACAAGAGGGAGAGAACCAGCCUGGAGGUCUGCUCUGUGUGUGUGUGUGUGUGUGUGUGUGUGUGUGCAAACAGCAGGGCUGAACCCUCCAGUCACAUUGCUUACCUGCAGUGAGCAAAACAUCAGAGCUGCAGCUUCGUACGUACUGGGAAACUCGCAGGGCAGUCUGAGAUCGUUUCUGAUAAUGACUGUGGUUUUGUGUUCUCCGAACCGCUCUGUACCAGGGAAGUCACAGCCACGCUCAGCGAUUUCCUUGGUUGCUGAGCAGGUGGGAUGUGUGAUUUCUCUUCGUAAACAGACUUGAGCACGGCUCAGCCUUCCAGCCUCACUGUUUUGGCCUAAACAACGGCAGCACAGCACUAGGAACCUGGCUUCUUUGUUCAGUUUUGUUUUGAAACCUAAAUGCAGCCUUGAGAAGCCGCGAAAGUCAUUUCACCGCAGAAGCCCCUUUCCAUCAAAUGUUAGAAUCCUGCUGUGAACUGGCCCCAGACACAUGCCGAACGAACAAUUCUCAAACCGACUGCCUCAAGUCCUUGCUCUGCAUGAGGCCCAGCACCUGGCCUACAAUCUUAAAAGAACUUUAAUACUCAAUUUUUUUUUUAAUGCUGUCGAGAUGGUCUGCAGAGAAGAACGGCAAGGGUCACCAAAUGCACCUCCUGGCUCUACAAAAGCCGGACGCGGCGGACAGAAGCGGCCCCUGUAAACGGGCAGGAGAGAGAGCAGCGCAGGCCCCGUGUCCUUGGGUAUUUAAAGGUCCUGCUGGUGCAGCGCCAGUGGCAUUAGUUCACCGGCUUCAGCGAUCAAGGCUGUUUCAUCAUCCAGGCUGAAAUAUUUGUGUCACUGGUGAAUCUGGGCAAAGGCCGAGACCCUGUCUGCUCAGUUUACAGUCUCUAGGACGGCCUGACACACAGGUGCACAGACACAAAUAGCAGCCAGAAGACUCUAGAAAUUCACUGGCCCGGCUCCUUCGUGUUCCAGAGACUCAGAGGUUCGGGAGCUGCCCAAGCCCCCUCCCCACGUCCAGCCAGUUACCAGAUGACAUCCACCCAGACUUCAAAGUGUGGAAUGUGACUUGCACGGGUGACCACUCACGGCACACAAGUAGAGCCCGGGAACUGCUCCAUCUUCCAGCGGUCUCCUGACCGGUCUCUCUCGGUCAGUCUGGGCCACCUCCAGUUCGUCAGCAUUCCUACCAGGCUCAUUUCUCAAGAACUCUGCAGCGGACACCCUUGCUAUGACCUUCUCUCAUCCCAAGGACAAAAUCCUAAGGCCCCAUCUACACUCACUUGCAGGCACGUCUACUAGUGAAGCACCCUGGCACCCACCUGGGCCUUUGUCUUGGCGAUUUCCUCUCCCUGGAAUGUCCUUCCCUUUCAAGUAGCAGCUCUCUACCCUUCGUCCACACUCAGUUCAAACACCACCCCCUCUAACUUUCUCUGAGGCCCUGCUGUGCUGGGCCUGGCAGCCCCACCCCCUGGCGGUGCUUAGCGACCUUCUUGCAUAAGGCUGAGGUCCUGGGGAGUGGGCGUGUCUUACCCCACUCUGCGGCCUGCUUAGCACAAGCUCUGUGGUUGGAUGGUUCUCUCCCUCCUAUGGCAUCUGUGGUCAGUAGUGAGUCUCAGGUAAUUUAGGAUUUGAGAUACUGUCCUACAUUGUUUACCAUGUCACAGGUUCUCCAUUCAAGAAGCAUGCCUUGUGCACAAAGGAGGACCAGGGUGGGAAAGAGUUCCACUGGACUAGAAGCGGAAGGUCUGUUGGGGUGGGAGGGGCAUAAAAUUAAACUGUGAUACGUACAAAACCCCUGAAGGGUUUUGGUCUCCAAAAGUAGUGAAAUAGGGCUGGCUGGUCGGACAGCGAAGUGCUUCUGUCCUUUGCUGCCUCUGAUGGUGUAUCUAGCAUUUGCAGAAAUGCUUUAUGGACGCUGGCUAGCUGAGUUCUUAAGCCCAGCACGGGAUUCGCAGUUUAGAAAAACCCAACUUUAUGCCAACAUAAUUCAAUACGUCACCACCUAAUUAAACACAGUAUUUUUAAGGGGCUCAUCCUGGACUAAUACGAGAUAUAUAACAGGAAUAAAAUAACACUGCUUUUCUGGCAUUAAUGAGGGAAUUAUGCCUCUGAAAUUUAUCUUUUAACCCAACCCACUUAGACUAUGCCUUCCCUGAUGGCUCAGACAGUAAAGCAUCUGCCUACAAUGUGGGAGACCCAGAUUCAAGCCCUGAGUUGGGAAGAUCUCCUGGAGAAGGAAAUGGCAACCCACUCCAGUAUUCUUGCCUGGAAAAUCCUAUGGAUGGAGAAGCCUGGUGGGCUACAGUCCAUGGGGUUGCAAAGAUUCAGACAUGACUGAGCGAUUUCACUUAGAUCAGGAGUCUGUAUACUUUUUGUUGGCAAUUUAACAUACACUAUGUUUCCUUGACUUCUUAACCAAAGCACACAGAAUACCAUUUUCUUGUCUGAGUGACUUGGAAUUACUACACAGGGGCUCUAAUGCUCAAGGAAUUGUGACACCUGAGGACCAUGAACCUCCACUUACACCCAAUGCUCCCAGAAUCAGUUCAGUUCAGUUCAGUCACUCAGUCGUGUCCAACUCUUUGCGACCCCAUGAAUCACAGCACGCCAGGCCUCCCUGUCCAUCACCAACUCCCGGAGUUUACUCAAACUCAUGCCCAUCGAGUCGGUGAUGCCAUCCAGCCAUCUCAUCCUCUGUCGUCCCCUUCUCCUCCUGCCCCCAAUCCCUCCCAGCAUCAGGGUCUUUUCCAAUGAGUCAACUCUUCGCAUGAGGUGGCCAAAGUAUUGGAGUUUCAGCUUCAGUAUCAGUCCUUCCAAUGAACACCCAGGACUGAUCUCCUUUAGGAUGGACUGGUUGGAUCUCCUUGCAGUCCAAGGGACUCUCAAGAGUCUUCUCCAACACCACAGUUCAAAAGCAUCAAUUUUUCGGUGCUCAGCUUUCUUCACAGUCCAACUCUCACAUCCAUACAUGACCACUGGAAAAACCAUAGCCUUGACCAGACGGACCUUUGUUGGCAAAGUAAUAUCUCUGCUUUUUAAUAUGCCAUCUAGGUUGGUCAUAACUUUCCUUCUUAGGAGUAAGCGUCUUUUAAUGUCAUGGCAGCAAUCACCAUCUGCAGUGAUUUUGGAGCCCCCAAAAUAAAGUCUGACACUGUUUCCACUGUCUCCCCAUCUAUUUCCCAUGAGGUGAUGGGACCAGAUGCCAUGAUCUUAGUUUUCUGAAUGUUGAGCUUUAAACCAGCUUUUUCACUCUCCUCUUUCACUUUCAUCAAGAGGCUUUUUAGUUCCUCUUCACUUUCUGCCAUAAGGGUGGUGUCAUCUGCAUAUCUGAGGUUAUUGAUAUUUCUCCCGGCAAUCUUGAUUCCAGCUUGUGCUUCUUCCAGCCCAGCGUUUCUCAUGAUGUACUCUGCAUAUAAGUUAACUAAGCAGGGUCACAAUAUACAGCCUUGAUGUACUCCUUUUCCUAUUUGGAACCAGUCUGUUGUUCCAUGUCCAGUUCUCUAACUGUUGCUUCCUGACCUGCAUACAGGUUUCUCAAGAGGCAGGUCAGGUGGUCUGGUAUUCCCAUCUCUUGAAGAAUUUUCCACCGUUUAUUGUGAUCCACACAGUCGAAGGUUUUGGCGAACAAAGCUAGUGGAUGUAAUGGAAUUCAAGUUGAGCUAUUUCAAAUCCUGAAAGAUGAUGCUGUUAAAAUGCUGCACUCAAUAUGCCAGCAAAUUUGGAAAACUCAGCAGUGGCCACAGGACUGGAAAAGACAAUGACAUGGCACAGCCAUCAUCGCCGUGGCAACAGCACUGGGAACUAUCAGAGGAAAAUUGCACAUGGCCCUGCCGGCCC